UACGGAGGGUGCAAGCGUUAAUCGGAAUCACUGGGCGUAAAGCGCACGUAGGUGGUUUGCUAAGCCAGCUGUGAAAUCCCCGGGCUCAACCUGGGCACUGCAGUUGGAACUGGCAAGCUAGAGUAGGGUAGAGGGGUGUGGAAUUCCAGGUGUAGCGGUGAAAUGCGUAGAUAUCUGGAGGAACAUCAGUGGCGAAGGCGACACCCUGGACUCAUACUGACACUGAGGUGCGAAAGCGUGGGGAGCAAACAGG
rnacentral:rRNA from 1 species